GACGAACGCUGGCGGCGUGCUUAACACAUGCAAGUCGAACGGAAAGGCCCUGCUUUUGUGGGGUGCUCGAGUGGCGAACGGGUGAGUAACACGUGAGUAACCUGCCCUUGACUUUGGGAUAACUUCAGGAAACUGGGGCUAAUACCGGAUAGGAGCUCCUGCUGCAUGGUGGGGGUUGGAAAGUUUCGGCGGUUGGGGAUGGACUCGCGGCUUAUCAGCUUGUUGGUGGGGUAGUGGCUUACCAAGGCUUUGACGGGUAGCCGGCCUGAGAGGGUGACCGGCCACAUUGGGACUGAGGUACGGCCCAGACGCCUACGGGAGGCAGCAGGGGGGAAUAUUGCACAAUGGGCGGAAGCCUGAGGCAGCAACGCCGCGUGCGGGAUGACGGGCUUCGGGUUGUAAACCGCUUUCGCCUGUGACGAAGCGGGAGUGACGGUAAUGGGUAAAGAAGCACCGGCUAACUACGUG
rnacentral:rRNA from 1 species